rnacentral:rRNA from 1 species
CGGGUACAAAGAGACGCAAAGUCGCGAGGCGGAGCAAAUCUCAAAAGCCGAUCCCAGUUCGGAUUGCAGGCUGCAACUCGCCUGCAUGAAGUUGGAGUUGCUAGUAAUCGCGGAUCAGAAUGCCGCGGUGAAUGCGUUCCCGGGUCUUGUACACACCGCCCGUCACACCACGGAAGUUGGGGGUGCCCAAAGUUGGCAGGAUAAUAUGUUACCUAAGGCAAAACCGAUGACUGGGGUGAAGUCGUAACAAGGUAUC